rnacentral:rRNA from 1 species
UACGUAGGGUGCAAGCGUUAAUCGGAAUUACUGGGCGUAAAGCGUGCGCAGGCGGCUUUGCAAGACAGAUGUGAAAUCCCCGGGCUCAACCUGGGAACUGCAUUUGUGACUGCAUGGCUGGAGUGCGGCAGAGGGGGAUGGAAUUCCGCGUGUAGCAGGUGAAAUGCGUAGAUAUGCGGAGGAACACCGAUGCGAAGGCAAUCCCUGGCG